AUUGAACGCUGGCGGCAUGCCUUACACAUGCAAGUCGAACGGUAACGCGGGGCAACCUGGCGACGAGUGGCGAACGGGUGAGUAAUGCAUCGGAACGUGCCUGGUAGUGGGGGAUAACUGCUCGAAAGAGCAGCUAAUACCGCAUACGACCUGAGGGUGAAAGGGGGGGAUCGCAAGACCUCUCGCUAUCAGAGCGGCCGAUGUCGGAUUAGCUAGUUGGUGGGGUAAAGGCCCACCAAGGCGACGAUCCGUAGCUGGUCUGAGAGGACGACCAGCCACACUGGGACUGAGACACGGCCCAGACUCCUACGGGAGGCAGCAGUGGGGAAUUUUGGACAAUGGACGCAAGUCUGAUCCAGCCAUGCCGCGUGCGGGAAGAAGGCCUUCGGGUUGUAAACCGCUUUUGUCAGGGAAGAAAUCUUCUGGACUAAUACUCUGGGAGGAUGACGGUACCUGAAGAAUAAGCACCGGCUAACUACGUGCCAGCAGCCGCGGUAACAC
rnacentral:rRNA from 1 species